rnacentral:rRNA from 1 species
GCAGUUGAGCGCUGAAGGUUGGUACUUGUACCGACUGGAUGAGCAGCGAACGGGUGAGUAACGCGUGGGGAAUCUGCCUUUGAGCGGGGGACAACAUUUGGAAACGAAUGCUAAUACCGCAUAAAAACUUUAAACACAAGUUUUAAGUUUGAAAGAUGCAAUUGCAUCACUCAAAGAUGAUCCCGCGUUGUAUUAGCUAGUUGGUGAGGUAAAGGCUCACCAAGGCGAUGAUACAUAGCCGACCUGAGAGGGUGAUCGGCCACAUUGGGACUGAGACACGGCCCAAACUCCUACGGGAGGCAGCAGUAGGGAAUCUUCGGCAAUGGACGAAAGUCUGACCGAGCAACGCCGCGUGAGUGAAGAAGGUUUUCGGAUCGUAAAACUCUGUUGGUAGAGAAGAACGUUGGUGAGAGUGGAAAGCUCAUCAAGUGACGGUAACUACCCAGAAAGGGACGGCUAACUACGUGCCAGCAGCCGCGGUAAUACGUAGGUCCCGAGCGUUGUCCGGAUUUAUUGGGCGUAAAGCGAGCGCAGGUGGUUUAUUAAGUCUGGUGUAAAAGGCAGUGGCUCAACCAUUGUAUGCAUUGGAAACUGGUAGACUUGAGUGCAGGAGAGGAGAGUGGAAUUCCAUGUGUAGCGGUGAAAUGCGUAGAUAUAUGGAGGAACACCGGUGGCGAAAGCGGCUCUCUGGUCUGUAACUGACACUGAGGCUCGAAAGCG